rnacentral:rRNA from 1 species
UACAGAGGGGGCAAGCGUUAUUCGGAAUUAUUGGGCGUAAAGCGCGCGCAGGCGGUUUCUUAAGUCUGAUGUGAAAGCCCCCGGCUCAACCGGGGAGGGUCAUUGGAAACUGGGAAACUUGAGUGCAGAAGAGGAAAGUGGAAUUCCAAGUGUAGCGGUGAAAUGCGUAGAGAUUUGGAGGAACACCAGUGGCGAAGGCGACUUUCUGGUCUGUAACUGACGCUGAGGCGCGAAAGCGUGGGGAGCAAACAGG